UUGGGAAGCUUUCCUUUGAGGGCUAGAUAAGAGCACCUUCAUGAGAACCUAUUUGCAGGAGGACAGAAGUGGCUGAGCAGUGCAGCUAUUUUUGUUGCUCACUGCUGUACUGAAUCUCCUGUAAAAUGUUACAGAAUCUAGGGGUUCUUUGAAGGGCCCCAUUGACCAGCAGAAGCUCGCACAGCUGGCCAGAGGCAUUUACCUGACCUUCUCGCAGGUCUAGCCUUGCUCACAUGUGCGUCGGCUGGAGUCAUAAGGAGUGAGUGUGAGUAAGCAGGAUUGUUGAAUCAGCCUGCAUGCUCAUUUGAACUGCAAAUAUAACCUUUGUCUGUA